CAGGUGGGAUUACCCGCUGAACUUAAGCAUAUCAAUAAGCGGAGGAAAAGAAACUAACAAGGAUUCCCCUAGUAACGGCGAGUGAAGAGGGAAAAGCCCAAAUUUGUAAUCUGGCUCUUUUAGAGUCCGAGUUGUAAUUUUGAGAACUGUUUUCAGUGCUGGACCAUGUUUAAGUCUGUUGAAAAACAGCAUCAUUGAGGGUGAUAAUCCCGUUCAUGAUAUGGACUACCAGUACUUUAUGAUACAGUCUCUAAGAGUCGAGUUGUUUGGGAAUGCAGCUCAAAGUGGGUGGUAAAUUCCAUCUAAGGCUAAAUAUAGGUGAGAGACCGAUAGCAAACAAGUACCGUGAGGGAAAGAUGAAAAGAACUUUGGAAAGAGAGUUAACAGUACGUGAAAUUGCUGAAAGGGAAACAAUUGAAGUUAGCCUUGUUAUUGUCAGUUCAGCUCUUUUAGAGUGUAUUCUGAUGAUUAACGACCAACAUCAGUCUUUGAGUGCUGGAUAAGGGUUUUGGAAAUGUAGCAGUCUCGGCUGUGUUAUAGUCCAUUACUUUGAUACAGUGCUUGGGAUUGAGGAUCGCAGUAAGCCAUUUUAUGGUGGACCAAAUUUUUGGUCUUCUUACUGAGGAUGUUGGUGAAAUAGCU
rnacentral:rRNA from 1 species